UUUGUAGUUCAUUCUUAUGACUAGCUAAACCAUGGUAGUACUGAAAUUUAAUAAAGUAAAAGUGACUGGCAGUACAUGUUCAGCUUUAUAUAUAAAACAGUCCCUCACAAUCUGACUCAUUAUCUUCUUAUUACAAUGGCUGAAUAUCUAUUGUCACAUUAAUAUGAGCUCAAACUUCCACUUAAAUCCAGACUGCCAACAUAUUAUUUGAACAAUGGUUCAAAUUGCAGGCAAAUUCCCUUUUUUUUUUUUUUUCUAUUCUUCUGAGCUAUGAGUUGAUAAAAUCACUCGUGAAUUUGAGACUGGAAUGAGUUCAAGUCUCUGUUCUAUCUCUUCUUUUUCAUAAUCUUGUCUAUCAUUGAGGAAAAUUAAAGUCAACAGGACUCCAUUGUCUGUCAGUAGCCCAGAAAACAGGCAAAUAAAUUUCCUGUUUAAGUCGGACUUCAGGGUACAGAAACCGUCCAGACUAUCACUAUUAAAUACGAGGAAAAAUAGAGAACUGUUGCAAAACACUGUUUAUUGGUUUCAUAGACAAUUAAAUAAGAUGGGAGAAUACUGUGAAAAAAAAAAAAAAAAGCAAUGGUUGAGUGUCUUUGACUAAAAUGUAGUGAAUUAGAAAUCAGUAGUAUCUUGCCUUUUUGUGUUGUAGGCUUAUGCAGAGUUAUGAGCUAUGCUGUUGAGAACUGUGUAUCCUUGAAACUUUACUUUCAAAAAAAUGGACAAGGUAUUAUGCCACACAUCUUCAGAAAUGAAAACAUGAAAUGGCAGAGAACCACUGUGUUCUUUCAAGUAUUGCAUUUUACAUAAAGAGAUCAUCCAGAGUACCUCAUCUGCAUCUGUGACAUGCUAUGAAGCACUCAGAAACUUUAUGUCCUGUCCCAAGCAGAUAUAUGAACAUAAGAAAAUAAUUUUUCUGAUGAAAGUGACAACAGAAAGGGCUUGUGGGAAAAUAAACUUAUCUUUUCC
rnacentral:lncRNA from 1 species